AUGGCUCAUUGCAAAACUAAGUUGUCUGCUUUCGUCUUCUCUUCGAGCACCGGAAUAUGGCAAGCUGCUGCAUCCAAGAGUUGGAAUGAUUUGGCCCUUGACAUUGACGACUUGGUCAUUAUGCCACAGCUCCACCCUUCUUUUCUCAGGCGCCAUUAUGCUUGUGGUUGCUUCUACUGGGACUGGGUGAUAAUCAGGAGUGAAAAGUUGCUGGUGCUUGACAUCCGGAGGAUGGAGUUCUCCAUUGCUAAUCUACCACCUGGAGAUUGGAGUAAAAAAGGUGUAGGCAUUGUGGAGGCAGGGGAAGGCAGGCUUGGGAUUUUUGGAUUUGAUGGUGACUUUACAUCUCAUCUCAGCUAUGCCAUUGCACGAAAUAAAGGUGAGAGUCCCAUCCAGUGGCAGAUGGAGAAGACAAUCUCACUAGAUUCUAGAUACAAACAUUUUAUUGAUGCUGCAACUGAGAGGCGCUUGCUCUUGACAAGGAAACCAGCCUUAUCUGUACAUAGUUUACUCGUUGAUGAAUAUUUCUCAAUGGACGCCAAGACGUUGCAGCUUCAGAGGGUUUGUGCCAAACAAUUAUUGCCUAUGUAUGGGACACACAUAUAUACCAACUUCCCACCAUCGUUGUUGUCUUCACGGGCAAUAUGA
rnacentral:rRNA from 1 species